rnacentral:rRNA from 1 species
AUACGUAGGGAGCGAGCGUUGUCCGGAAUUACUGGGCGUAAAGGGCGCGUAGGCGGCGCUUCAAGUCGUCUGUCAAAUGGGAGGGCUUAACCCUUUUUCGCAGACGAAACUGGAGAGCUUGAGAAGCAGAGAGGCAAACAGAAUUCCUGGUGUAGCGGUGAAAUGCGUAGAUAUCAGGAAGAAUACCAGUGGCGAAGGCGGUUUGCUGGCUGCAUACUGACGCUGAAGCGUGAAAGCCAGGGGAGCAAACGGGAUUGGAUACCCCGGUAGUCCUGGCAGUAAACGAUGUAUGCUGGGUGUGAGACUAGCGAUAGUUUCGUGCCGAAGUUAACGCGAUAAGCAUACCGCCUGGGGAGUACGGUCGCAAGAUUGAAACUCAAAUGAAUUGACGGGG